rnacentral:rRNA from 1 species
AUUGAACGCUGGCGGCAGGCCUAACACAUGCAAGUCGAGCGGAUGAAGGGAGCUUGCUCCUGGAUUCAGCGGCGGACGGGUGAGUAAAGCCUAGGAAUCUGCCUGGUAGUGGGGGAUAACGUCCGGAAACGGGCGCUAAUACCGCAUACGUCCUGAGGGAGAAAGUGGGGGAUCUUCGGACCUCACGCUAUCAGAUGAGCCUAGGUCGGAUUAGCUAGUUGGUGGGGUAAUGGCCUACCAAGGCGACGAUCCGUAACUGGUCUGAGAGGAUGAUCAGUCACACUGGAACUGAGACACGGUCCAGACUCCUACGGGAGGCAGCAGUGGGGAAUAUUGGACAAUGGGCGAAAGCCUGAUCCAGCCAUGCCGCGUGUGUGAAGAAGGUCUUCGGAUUGUAAAGCACUUUAAGUUGGGAGGAAGGGCAGUAAGUUAAUACCUUGCUGUUUUGACGUUACCAACAGAAUAAGCACCGGCUAACUUCGUG